GAAAUUAUGGCUACCUCUGCUGUGUCACAUAGGUUGCCAAGGAAGUGGGAGAAAGCCAGCAGCCACAAGCCUCACCCAGCUCCCAUGGAGCCUGCAGCCUGCAGCUUGAAAGGCCAGCCUCAUUCCCACUGUGCCCCCACAACAGCACCGAAGCACCGAGUUUAUUUCCAGGCAGGCAGUGAGCAGGGCUGAGAAAUUGCCCCAGGCUACAAGCCUCCCAGCUGAGAAAGCAAGCAGACUCACAGUUCCUUGGCUGUCCCAUGCAGCCUGCAGCAGCAAUCCACCCCCUUUAAAGUGUCUGUGGAUUCUUUCAGCUUUUUUGGUAUGUUCCUAUGGUAGUUCUUGGGGCAAAAUUUCACAGUGUGAGUCUCCAAAUGCUGCUUUGUCUGUUCAAGUGGGAACUGCAAGUUAGUCCUGCUUCCUAUCUGCCAUUUUUUCCCGGUCUGUCUACAUUUUUAUACAGUUCAUCUUUUACAUGCUAGUAAAAGUAAUACUGUGCUUUAAAGUUUUUUUUGUUUGUUUGUUUGCUUGCUUGUUUGUUUUUAAAUAGGAAGGAGAAUCUGAUGUUUUUUGUUUGUUUGUUUGAGACAGAGUCUUGCUCUGACACCCAGGCUGGAGAGCAGUGGUACAAUCUUGGCUCACUGCAACCUCUGUCUCCCAGGUUCAAGCAAUUCUCCUGUCUCAGCCUCCCGAGUAGCUGGGAUUACAGUCAUGUGCCCCUGUGUCCAGAAUUGGUUCCUUCUGGUGGGUUCUUGGUCUUGCUGUCUUCAAGAAUGAAGCCGUGGACCCUCGUCAUGAAUGUUACAGUUCUUAAAGAUGAAGAGAACAGCAUCAGGGCACAUUGAGGCUCAGAAAUUUAUAUUCCAAGAAGAGGUGCACAGGAACAGAGCAGAUCCAAAGCAGACAACCACCUGGAAGCAGUCAUAACAACAGCAAUAGCAAAUCAAUGCUGACUCCAACACUAAGCAUUCACCUGGAGAUAACCUACAGAGAUACUCUGUGUUACCCACAACUAGUCUGUUGACUAAGUUGGUGAAUAUAUUUGGGAAAAGCCCAUGUGGAAGAAUGGAAGCCUGCAUUAUCUUUCUCAGAGACAGACAGGAAGGUGACUCUAUGGAAGACAUCAGCGAUAAACUAGGAAGGAGUGACACGCAGUGACUGCAUGCCAGGACAGCCUUCCACUCCAGAAGGCCCUUGCCAACACAAAUAAAGAAGGGAAAUGACAUCUUACUUGUUGAAGUAAAGAAACUGCAGUGUAAACAAUAACAACAAUCAUGCAAUCAGAGAAGUGAUUAAGCAGGAAGAAUUCAUUCUAAAUGCCUGACCAUGGUGAACUUACAAAAUAUGACUGUUGCCUCUCGCCAGACAAAAAGAAACUUUGAAAUAACUGUCUUCAACAUUUCUGCUUUAAAAGUCCUUUUAUAACCAUCUGUUUUCU
rnacentral:lncRNA from 10 species